UUCAUCAAGAUAAAAAGCUUCUGAACGGUCACCCUUCUUAAGGGAGAUGUUUAAUUAAUUGAAUGUAGGAGGCUGUACUGAUAAUCUUGCCUCCAGUGAAGCCAGCUGGAGUUAUGGCUUUUCUCUUCUUUUCACGAAAUUAACCAGAAAGAGAAGAGAUGGUCACACCACCAAUUUCAUAAACCAUCAUUCAGGUCAACAUACCAGCAGCUUUUGAAACGGAUGACUGUUCUUUCUUAAAAUAUUUUCUUCACUUGAUUUCCAGCAUUACACUCUCCUGGUUUCUUCUAGCCUUAAUUUCUCAAUAUCCUUUAAUGAUUCCUCUCCCACCAUCUAAUUAUUGGAAAGCCCCAAGUUUCUAUGUUUGGCCCUAUGAUUUUCUCUAUUGGUAUCCAUUAGAUAGGUGACCUUAUCUAGCGAACCCUAAAGUGCACAAUCAAUUUCACCACAGAUAUAGAGUCAAAGAAAGAUCAAAAUGCCACCUCUAUUACUGGUUUUUGAAAUAUUUCUAUUGCAGAAUAUAAUUCCAGGCAAAGCUCAAUUUUGUUACAACCAUUGCAUGUGGUGGUCCUUGUCCUUCUGCCUGGAACUCUGUAGAACUAUUUUUCCCCUUGAGUCACAGUGUAACUCGACUUGCUAAUAUUUUGCUGACUAUCUCAGUCAAUCAUAGGAACAUUUGUAUAACCACAAGCUUCUCCCAGUGCAAACUGCAUCUUGAAAAAUUCACAGCCUGGAAGAUUAGAAAAUUUAUACUCUCUGAAGGCAGACAUCCCAAAAAGAUACAAGAAAACUAAUGAAACUUGGUUCUUUCUCCCAAACUCACCAAUCAAGUUAUGUCAAUCCUCCUCCUAGGGAAGAAGGACUCCGAAAACAGUAAGAAGUCAGGACUGUUAACACCAAUGGAGGUUCCUCAUAGGACCACAGAAACUGGAUCUGCAUGCACUCUCUAAAAAGAAGUAGAAGAAGAAGAAAAGAAAAAGAAAGAAAUAUUAUGAAGAACUUUAUGCCAAUAACUUAACAACUUUAAUAAAAUGCACAUAUGUACUGAA